rnacentral:rRNA from 1 species
AUGGUAACUGACAUGCAUGAUCAUUUUCAAUGUCAGGUUGUGUUCCUCGGAAGCGAUGGAGUUGCCCGCCCCUUUUUAUGCAAACCGAAGGAUGGUCUCAGGAAGGAUGCACGCGUGAUGGAGUUCAACGCCGUGAUCAACCGUCUCCUCUCCAAAGUUCCUGAGAGCCGCCGCAGGAGAAAGCUCUACAUCAGAACCUUGGCGGUGGUUCCACUCACAGAAGACUGCGGACUGAACAUGAUGGACGGUUUGGGCAUCGCUCGGUACGAGGGCGUCGUGUUUCUGAAGGUGUGCUGUCGGUGCUGA